CUUGCAUCUGUGGACUACACCUCUCCGUUGGUUUUCGUGGCCUUUCUCCGCUGGAGAUCUGUCGGCGGAUUGGCUUCUCUGACUGACCGACGGACUACAACCUUUUUUGUAUACGGUAUUUCAUUUGUUUUGGUGUGAUGUAUACUGUGAUGAUUUAGGUAGUUAGUUGUAGUUGAGGAUUUAUUGAAAUGUGUGGUAAAAUAUUUGUUCUUUUCAUUGUAUGAUUGACACUGGGUUUACGCUACACUGUAUGAACGGACAACCAUUGCGUGACUAAGGUCACUUGAGUUCCCUGAACUUGUUUACCGGGCUGGACUCUUUUUAGGCCCGAGGUACAGGACAUUUCUGGAGGAACCAGAGCUGUUUAAAGCUCAUUAUUGUUAUAUUGUUGUGUGUGUGUGUGUGUGUGUUGUUAAUACAACCACGCAAAAGAAUACAGUUGUUUUGAAGUUAUUUCCAUUGUUUUAAGGGUUUAUGAAAAGUGUAUUUCCAUCCUGACUUUUACAUGAGUCCUUUGUAUUGGUGUAGACUUGACGGACCAGAUGGGACUCAUUCCCUAUCAAACUAAAAGGAGAAACUAAUAUUUUCUCUGGUAGGCACAACCUACCUGGCACCCCUAUAAAUUAUAACCUCAAGUCAAAACCGUUACAACGUACAAACUUGAUAGAGCAUAAUAUUGACAUUGGAGAUGCUGACCCCAUUCGUCAGCGGUUCUAUAGAGUCUCUGUAGAGAAACUGCGUUGUCUGGAUGCUGAGGUCAGGUACAUGCUGGAGAGUAAGAUAGCAGAGCCUUCUUUCUCCAGUUGGGCUUCUCCCUGUAUCUUGGUCAGUAAACCGGAUGGAACGGACCACCGUAAGGUAAACGGAGUCACUAAGCCAGAUUAAUUUCCUCUUCCUCGGAUGGAGGACUGCGUUGAUCAAGUCGGCGCAGCUGUUUGUGCAAAUUUGACCUGUUAUUGUGCUAUUGGCAGGUGCCACUGACGAGUAGGGCACAUGACAUUUUUGCCUUUAUUACACCCUCUGGUCUGUACUCGUAUUCGGUUAUGAGUUUAGUGACUAUGAAUCGUUGGAGUCACUAUGAAUCGUUGGAGUCACUAUGAAUCGUUGGAGUCACUAUGAAUCAUUGGAGUGACUAUGAAUCGUUGGGAAAUGACAACCGUUGAGAAGUGACUAUGAACCGUUGGAAGAUGUUGUUUGCGUUUGUAGCUGAUGUGGUCUCUUGUGCGCCCUGUUCCUGAAUGUUAUGUGACUGACCAUUGUUUGGUUUUAUCAUGUUCUAACUUUCCUGUCUGUUCCCUCCUGGUCUUGUGUUCUCCUUUCCUCUUAAAUGUUGCUUCCUGUGCACAAAGGUUGCUGAGGUCUGGGGAGAAGGAGGUUGGCUGGGGCAAGUGGAAGGUGAACAUGUAACCUCUCGUCAAUUUGGGACGCAGAGGCCUGUGUCAAUUUGGGACGCAGAGGCCUGUGUCAAUUUGGGACGCAGAGGCCUGUGUCAAUUUGGGACGCAGAGGCCUGUGUCAAUUUGGG
rnacentral:lncRNA from 1 species